GCCAUUAUAUAGGCUUCCAGUAAAAUACAUGGCCCAGAUUAGAGAUAUGUAUACUUUUUUUUUGAUGGUUUAGAACUUUAUUUCAAUGUAUGCAUAGGAAACACACUCAUAUCAGCUAAUAGGAUGCAAUCACGUUCAACCUAUCCUAUACAGUCUUGACCAGAAACUUGGUACAUGAUUUACAAUUAAAAAAAAAUAACAAAAAACAAACUGCAAUCUGCUUCAUCUCUAUCUGUUGCAAAUGUAUAAAAAAAUCCUCCAUCAAAUGCUGCUGAAGGCAGCAGACCCUUGAGAAAUAUACCUUUGGUUUGCCUCAGGAAAAUAACACAUAUUGCACUGUAAAGGUUUAUAAAAUUGAAGCAAAGCAUUGUUGUGAUGUCACAAUACCAGUUCUGAGAGUCCAGUAACUGACGGGAGCCUGCAGGACAUACACACAACUGUAGAAGCCCUCGCUCGCCCUCAGCCAGCAGUACACACACUGAAUCUACAGUCGGAUCAUUCUGAACUAAGACAUCAGCUCACCUCAUGUGCUCAGGCAGCCAGAAAACCUUAGAUAGAUCUUGAUUUUUGCAAAGAAAACGGAGUUUCUUCAGUGUUUCAGUUUACGAGUAACAGGAUGCUAACAGUAAUAUUUUAACCCAAGGAACCUAAUCUACCAUCAAAAGUGAAAAAGGUGGAGGUCUCCAAAUAGAACUUAAUCAAAGAGGUGUAAACUAAAAAUACUCACCUGUGGUGGGCAGGGAAGCUUAUAACUUAUCAGAUUAAUGAAGUAAUCAUCAUCAUCAUCAUCAUCACCACCACCACCACCACCACCACCACCAUCAUCAUCAUCACCAAAGAAAGACCACAAGAAUUCAUAAGGGGAAUUCAAAUAGUCAUCUACAGACUAUGAAGAAAGCUUUUAUGAGGAACAAGAUUGCUCGGUACCUGGACCAUUAAAAGUUA
rnacentral:sRNA from 1 species